UGGCGAGUAGCUCAAUUGGUAGAGCAGCGGCCCGUUAAGCCGCCAGUUGCAGGUUCAAGUCCUGCCUUGCCAGCCA
rnacentral:tRNA from 1 species